UAGUAACGGCGAGUGAAGAGGAAAGAGCUCAAAGUUGGAACCUGUUUGGCUUAGCUAAACCGGAUUGUAAACUGUAGAAACGUUUUCCUGGCACGCCAGAUAAAUAAGUCCUUUGGAACAGGGCAUCAUAGAGGGUGAGAAUCCCGUCUUUGGUCUGAGCUGUUGUCUUUUGUGAUACGUUUUCAAAGAGUCAGGUUGUUUGGGAAUGCAGCCUAAAUUGGGUGGUAAAUCUCACCUAAAGCUAAAUAUUUGCGAGAGACCGAUAGCGAACAAGUACCGUGAGGGAAAGAUGAAAAGAACUUUGAAAAGAGAGUUAAACAGUAUGUGAAAUUGUUAAAAGGGAACCGUUUGGAGCCAGACUGGCUUGAUCGUAAUCAAUCUAGGUUUCGACCUGGAUGCACUUGCGGUCUAUGCCUGCCAACGACAGUUCUUUUUGAAGGAUAAAACUAGGAGGAAUGUAGCCCCUCGGGGUGUUAUAGACUUCUAGAUAAUACUUUGAUUGGGACUGAGGAACGCAGUGAAUGCUUAUGGCGAAAUUGCUAGGCGCUUUUGUUGAUAGAUGUUAGAAUUUCUGCUUCGGGUGGUGCUGAUGUCUAAAGAUAAAACUCGUUUGGUUAAUUUUCUAUUCACUUAGGUUGUUGGCUUAAUGACUCUAAAUGACCCGUCUUGAAACACGGACCAAGGAGUCCACCAUUAGUGCGAGUAUUUGGGUGCCAAACCCAUAUGCGUAAGGAAACUGAUUGAUACGAAACCGCAAGGUGGCAGUAUCACCCGGCGUUGACGUUUUAUACUGAACUGACCGAGGUUAAGCACUAAUGAUGGGACCCGAAAGAUGGUGAACUAUGCCUGAAUAGGGUGAAGCCGGAGGAAACUCCGGUGGAGGCUCGUAGCGAUUCUGACGUGCAAAUCGAUCGUCAAAUUUGGGUAUAGG
rnacentral:rRNA from 1 species